rnacentral:lncRNA from 1 species
AGCCAGCCCCGCGUGCUGGUUCAGCAUUACACCUGCACAGUACUGCUGAAGGCACUUAAUUUCCCAGCUUUGGCUUGAACACAGUGAUGGUUGGCACAGUACGACACCACCCGAGAAAACAGCAAAAAGAAGAGGUGAAAUAUUCAUAGAAGGGAAUAUAUUAUUUAUCUCGUGGAGAAACCAAGCAGCACUGACAGCCUGGAGGAAAGAAAGAAGGCUGAGGUUCGUUAGCUCCCAGCUUUCCUUUGUGUGAGACACUCGGGGACAUGUGCAGCAGAUCCGGAUGGAGGCAGCACCAACGCGAGACAGAGGCAGAGCUGAGCUGUGUGUGCCCAGGGCUCCUGCACAGAGCUUGUCACCAGAAACAGGAUUUCAAAGCCUGUGAAAGCCAUCAUUCCCACACUGCAACACAGGCAAGGCCACUGCUGGCAUUGGAGCUGUGGUAGGAUGAGGGCAGCCGCCACAUUUAGGAAUUGCUUCCUGCUGCCUGACAUAAGCAACCAGUGGGAAGCGCCUGACAAGCCAUCAUUUCUUCUCUCCAUGAAAGACAGCCCUGUUCUGAGCCAUUCACGUCUGGUUUGUCGCUAGAACAAGAAUGUGCUCUUCAAAAUUCUGAGUUCAGCAUUUUGGAAAACUGCCUCUAUGGACACAAGAGUUGGAAGAAAAAAAGUUAUUGCACAAAGACAGUGUCUUCCUCUAUUUCUACAGCAUUAAGGGAGAGUUGCGGGGACUCAAACAGCUGAUUGCCCAAUGCUGCUUUCUCUACAACAUUCAGGUCUCUGCCAGAUUUCCAGCACAUAGACAUGACCAAGCUGUGUUUCUGCAUCAAAUGUCAGCUU